rnacentral:rRNA from 1 species
UACGUAGGGUCCGAGCGUUGUCCGGAGUUACUGGGCGUAAAGGGCGCGCAGGCGGCGGUGCUGGCCCGGCGUGAAAGCCCCCGGCUCAACCGGGGAGGGUCGUCGGGGACCGCACCGCUUGAGGGCGGUAGGGGCUGGUGGAAUGCCGGGUGUAGUGGUGAAAUGCGUAGAGAUCCGGCGGAACACCUGGGGCGAAGGCGGCCAGCUGGGCCGACCCUGACGCUGAGGCGCGAAGGCGUGGGGAGCGAACGGG